UUUUCGGAAGUUGCCGUAAACAAGCAUGUAAAACGUUACUAGUCCUAAACGGUAAUAGCUAGAAACAUGGUUCCAGCGCUAAAAUGUUGCCCAUGUUGCAUUUUUCACGGACUUCACUUCCUGGUUUCCGUACAGUUCGGUUUUUCUCGGAGAUUUUCGGCCAGACUCCUGAAACAAGAAGCUCAUCUGUUAGUGCCUCGGCAUCCGGUGGUUCACAAUCACCAUGUUCCAGCAGCUCCCAAAGCCCGGAUAUAGACUGGGUGGAUAUCUUUCUGAUACCAUAGGAUAAGUUCCCGGAGGAGCUUAUGCAGUUUUUAGAGAGAGGAAAAUGACCAAGUCCACGAAUGAGAAGAGAGAUGGUCCGGAUUGUGGUGAAUGAGAUGAUGCGAAAAUGUUCUUGCCCAAGUAAAAGGAAUUCUACUGAAGUUGCCAAAAUGUUGGUGGCAAAAUAUCCCAAAUCUCUACAAAACAUAAAGAGAUGUCCAGGGUACCAUUCUUUAGUUAAGCAGUUGCAGUAUAACACUGAAAAUGUGAAGUGAUCUACCACACCCAAAAUAAGAAAAUUAAAGCAUUGCACUGAUGACUCUGACACUGAGGAAAUUCCUCCCAAACAGAGAGCAGCAAUCCAGGAUAUUUAUGGGUGCAUUAACUGGGAUGUAAAAUUCCUGCUCCUUGGAGAGACCCCUGAAAGCCAACAGGAAAAGAAGGAAAAACUGAAGAUGAUGUCUCUGCAAACUGAUAUAAAUCUAGAGAAGGUCAAACAUCUACGGAAGUUGACUUUCUACAUGCAACGUAAACAAGUCAACCAGGGAAAAAAUAUAAAAUGCCUUCUAGUGGAGUGGCCAUUUUGGUUCAAAGAACUUGGCAUGGCAGUUCAAUUCAAGGAACUUGCCGGAAUUCGUCUUAAAGAAACUUUCACACGCAAUCUGGAAUUGAAGGGUAAACGACUCUUGAACUACUUCAGUACAGUUGGUAUGAGCAAGAACAAAAAAUUCCUGCAGGCUGUAACAAAGUGUAAAGUUAUGAGGGAACAUCUGAGUGGUUGCUCUGAAGACAUGAAAGAGAUGUUGCUGCUUUUGCUCUCCUACUUUAAAGAGAAGGAACAUGCAAUGUUCUAUUAUGUGGAGGACACAUGCCUGGAAGGGGAAGUAGAGAUGGACAAAGUUCAUUUGACUUCCACCCUUGUUGUAUGUGUGGAUCCUGCUGUGUGUGGAUCGAAAUGUUGUACAUGACAACAUCCCCUCCUUCAUUUCUGCCCUGUGCAUGAUACUUUCUGCACUGGCACAUAGUUUUUCAGAUGUUUUUUCUCCAUCAACCCAGAGAAGGGCACCAAAGUGGAGAAGACAAACACAGCCCAUCUUCACAUGAACCCAAGAGUCCUUACCUUGACUUGGGACCUUUCAGAUCAUGAGUGGUGUGAUGUCUAAAUAUGGACUUAAGUCAGUAAGAUUUUUUACAUUUAAUGAAUGAUGUGCCAUACUCUCAGUUUAAAGGUUUGUUUCAGCUGCUAUGCUCAGUAGAUGUGUUAAGUUAAAGUUAUAAAACUGUUAUAGUUGCUAUUGCUCUAGUAUUUUCUGAUUUCCAUUCUUGUAUCUCAAAUUGUUAUACUGAUUCCAAGGAAAUGCAGUAAUCAUUAGUUUUAAUGAUGUUACUAUUAUUCAAAAAAAACCUUUUUUUUAUUUGUUCUUUAACAUUUUAAGAGAGAACUCCCUCCAUCUUUACUUUUUUAUUUUUAGUAAGAUAAUCAUUAAUCUGUCACAUGCUCUCUGUUGUAUUGUUUGUAAAGACAGUACACGUUACAGUUUUGUGUUGAGAACUGAAAUUUUUUGUUCACUUCUUAAAGGUCAAUAAAUGCUUCAAAGGGCAAAUUAUUAUUGGAUUUCUAUGUCUUUCUAUGCAGUAGCUCUUAAUGCAUAUCUAGCUU